ACACAGUGCUGUGGUCUAGGGAAAUGCUCAACCCUGAGGGAGCCACCUCAAAUGGCUGCACAUACCAGCCCUGAGGACAGGGCUCCCAGGGCGACCAUUACCUUACAGGCUGGUACCCGUGCCAGACAUGGGCAAUCACUUGGGACCUACCUUCCUCCCUAGAAUGAAUAACAGCGUUCAAACUUCCUCAAGUCUUCCCCAGUCCCCACUCCGAGGCAGCGAAGAGGAAACCCUAAACAAGAGGCGCUUGGCAGCGAGUUCGUGCCUUGUAAUCCCAGGACUGAGGAGGAUGAAACAGCAGGAAUUUGUGUUUCAAGACCAGCCUGGGCUGUACACCGAGUUGCCUCGGAAAGCCAAGCCUCUCAACGCUUCAAGAUAAGCUGAAGUCGAUUCUUCGGAAAUGGCUGAGGGAUACCCACCUCUGUGACACGGGCCACGGCACAAGGAUAUCUGCUAAUCCUGAGCCUCACCUCGCGGAACGAACCCAGUCCCAAGAAACUCUCAGGCUGCUGUGAUGCAGCUCUCGGGUCUGCGGAUGUUUUCUAGUUCCAAGCAACAACGGAACAGACCAGCAGCUCUUCGCUCCGCUUCUUAUGCACAGAGGCAGACUGAUUCUCAGCCGCUCGGAUGGGCGGGCUGCACCUAGGCAGAUCUUUUAAAUUCCCGGCAACGAAGACCGAACAAUGUCACAGGACAUUAAUUCAGGACUUUUCACGGCAGCUGGAAGAUGUAAAGGUUGAAGGAUCAAUUCUGACUGUUUGCUAGCCCUCAGUUGCUCCAAACACCAUCCCGGACCAGCAGCAGCAGCAGCCUCAUCCAGAUCUGCUGAAUCACACCACACAGCUAUGGUGGUGAGCUAUGCAGACGCCCUGUGCAUUUAGGACACACACACCACCUUGGGGGCCUUUCCCUGCACCUGGUGGAGUGCUCUUGCUUCCACCACACGCUGUGACCGUCUAAUUGUGUCUCUGAAUGUGUCAGCCGGUGAGCCCACACAUUACACUGUGUCCCUCUAUCUGGCAGCCCUCCUGCGAAGGCCCGUGUUCCCAAAGAUAAGGUUGGGCAUAGAGGGGUCUCUCGGCCUCCUUGAGCCUAGAGAAGCCAGAGGAGAGUGAAAUCGCACUCUGAGGGAGGCGGGAAUUGGAGCUGGGGUAGGGGCUGUUUCUGCAACCGCCUAGCACCUUUACACCUCUAUCACGCCCAGAAUCUGUCUCUACCGGAGAACAGCCCUUCAUCAGAUCCUCCUGACAGUUGCAGUGUUACAGGAAAAGCCACAGGGGCCCCACCAGAAAACCAUCAUUUGUCCAUCAAGCCCUUUUGUUCUUCAACUGUAGCCAGAUCACCAAAUUGCUUAAUACACAGUCUAAAGCUAUGUAAAUAACAAGUUCCCAAACAGAGUCACUCAACCUUGAUGUGUGCUUUCCAAGUUCUGCAUUAACUCCUCUGAUGUGAAGAGAUUUACAACAGUUUGGGUCAUAUAUAUAUAUUAUGUAUAUUGAUAUAUAUAUAUAACCAGCUAUUCCAUAAGCCUUGGCAUAACCCUCAUGUGCAUCCCACAAGGCUGCAUUUAUUGCUGUUAUCAUGUCAU